GACGAACGCUGGCGGCGUGCUUAACACAUGCAAGUCGAACGGAAAGGCCCUGCUUUUGUGGGGUGCUCGAGUGGCGAACGGGUGAGUAACACGUGAGUAACCUGCCCUUGACUUUGGGAUAACUUCAGGAAACUGGGGCUAAUACCGGAUAGGAGCUCCUGCUGCAUGGUGGGGGUUGGAAAGUUUCGGCGGUUGGGGAUGGACUCGCGGCUUAUCAGCUUGUUGGUGGGGUAGUGGCUUACCAAGGCUUUGACGGGUAGCCGGCCUGAGAGGGUGACCGUCCACAUUGGGACUGAGAUACGGCCCAGACUCCUACGGGAGGCAGCAGUGGGGAAUAUUGCACAAUGGGCGGAAGCCUGAUGCAGCAACGCCGCGUGCGGGAUGACGGCCUUCGGGUUGUAAACCGCUUUCGCCUGUGACGAAGCGUGAGUGACGGUAAUGGGUAAAGAAGCACCGGCUAACUACGUG
rnacentral:rRNA from 1 species